GUGUCAGCAGCCGCGGUAAUACGGAGGGGGCUAGCGUUGUUCGGAAUUACUGGGCGUAAAGCGCACGUAGGCGGAUCAGUCAGUUAGAGGUGAAAGCCCAGGGCUCAACCCUGGAACUGCCUUUAAUACUGCUGGUCUGGAGUCCGAGAGAGGUGAGUGGAAUUCCGAGUGUAGAGGUGAAAUUCGUAGAUAUUCGGAGGAACACCAGUGGCGAAGGCGGCUCACUGGCUCGGUACUGACGCUGAGGUGCGAAAGCGUGGGGAGCAAACAGGAUUAGAAACCCCCGUAGUCC
rnacentral:rRNA from 1 species